rnacentral:rRNA from 1 species
AUGAAUUGACGGGGGCCCGCACAAGCGGUGGAGCAUGUGGUUUAAUUCGAUGCAACGCGAAGAACCUUACCUGGUCUUGACAUCCACAGAACUUUCCAGAGAUGGACUGGUGCCUUCGGGAACUGUGAGACAGGUGCUGCAUGGCUGUCGUCAGCUCGUGUUGUGAAAUGUUGGGUUAAGUCCCGCAACGAGCGCAACCC